AUUGAACGCUGGCGGCAGGCCUAACACAUGCAAGUCGAGCGGAUGAAGGGAGCUUGCUCCUGGAUUCAGCGGCGGACGGGUGAGUAAUGCCUAGGAAUCUGCCUGGUAGUGGGGGAUAACGUCCGGAAACGGGCGCUAAUACCGCAUACGUCCUGAGGGAGAAAGUGGGGGAUCUUCGGACCUCACGCUAUCAGAUGAGCCUAGGUCGGAUUAGCUAGUUGGUGGGGUAAAGGCCUACCAAGGCGACGAUCCGUAACUGGUCUGAGAGGAUGAUCAGUCACACUGGAACUGAGACACGGUCCAGACUCCUACGGGAGGCAGCAGUGGGGAAUAUUGGACAAUGGGCGAGAGCCUGAUCCAGCCAUGCCGCGUGUGUGUAGAAGGUCUUCGGAUUGUAAAGCACUUUAAGUUGGGAGGAAGGGCAGUAAGUUAAUACCUUGCUGUUUUGACGUUACCAACAGAAUAAGCACCGGCUAACUUCGUG
rnacentral:rRNA from 1 species